GUACCUUCGGUAUAAGGGGUGCCUGCUGUUUUUGUGAGAAACAGGGACAGCAGGUCGCAGUGACAAGGGGGUCCCGACUGUUUAAUAAAAACACAGGAAGCUGCUAGCCCGAAAGGGUGUGUAUAGCUUUUGAAUCCUGGCCAGCAACGGUACCUAAAACUUGGGUUCAACCGAGCUAAGGGCCUGUUAACGCCGGGAGUAACUCUGACUCUCUUAAGGUAGCCAAAUGCCUUGUCGGGUAAGUUCCGACGUGCAUGAAUGGAACAACGAGGGCCCUACUGUCCCCGUCUACUACCCGGUGAAGCCACAUAAGGUGGACGAACAGUCCAUCAACUUCCAUCGGGGAGAGAAGACCCCGUGGAGUUUUACUGCAGCUUGUGCUUGUAGUAUAGUACGAAUUACAUAGUGUAUCUGGUAGCCAUGCCUGAAUUUCUUUGGGAAUUCAGUGAAGCGACGAUGUAACACCAGAUUAUUCUUGCAGUACUUCUUAUCUGAUGCAAAUCAGAAACAGGU
rnacentral:rRNA from 1 species